rnacentral:rRNA from 1 species
UACGUAGGUGGCAAGCGUUGUCCGGAUUUAUUGGGUUUAAAGGGUGCGUAGGUGGUCUAUUAAGUCAGUGCUGAAAUAUCCCGGCUUAACCGGGAGGGUGGCAUUGAUACUGAUAGACUUGAGUAAAGUUGAGGUGGGCGGAAUUGACGGUGUAGCGGUGAAAUGCUUAGAUAUCGUCAAGAACACCUAUUGCGAAGGCAGCUCACUAAGCUUUAACUGACACUGAGGCACGAAAGUGUGGGGAUCAAACAGG